CCGGCAAUGGAUCGGUAUCGAUUGCGAUCACAUAGGUCGUUUCGGCAGAGCGUGCCCGUUGCAGUGCUUGUUCGAGUUCGGCGAUGCCGGU
rnacentral:tRNA from 1 species